rnacentral:rRNA from 1 species
GACGAACCGUGCGAACGUUGUUCGGAAUCACUGGGCUUAAAGGGCGCGUAGGCGGGCUGACAAGUCUGGGGUGAAAUCCCGCGGCUCAACCGUGGAACUGCCUUAGAUACUGUCGGCCUCGAGGAAGGUAGGGGCAUGCGGAACUGUAGGUGGAGCGGUGAAAUGUGUAGAUAUAUGGAAGAACACCAAUAACGGCGAAGGCAGUUAACUAUUCUGUUACUGACAUUGAGGCACGAAAGCGUGGGGAGCAAAACGG